GCUUUCGUAGUGUUGUGGAUAGCACGCUCGACGCGUAUUUCUAGAGGUCCGUGGUUCGAGUCCCGGCGAAGACA
rnacentral:tRNA from 1 species